ensembl:lncRNA
AAAAAACAAGGGAGAAAGGAAAAAAGGGGAAAAAAAGUAAAAUUAAUUUCCACAUUACAGACUUCGCUGUGCUCAUUUCCUAUCCUCUCCUGGAUAUUCUUUGCCACUGAGAGUUACCAGGUAAGAGGCACAUAAUGGAAAAGAGAAAGGAAUGGGAAUUUUCACAUCAUUAUUCACCAAUCAGGAACUUCCUCCCAGCUUCCACCACUGCGCCAGCAAGAUGCUCUGAACUCCAGAGCUGGUUCUGUCUGCUGAAUCCAGCCUCUCCCUAGUAACGAUAAUUAGCCUAGAGCAUACACUAUGAAAAAAACAAUGGGACCUUAAUUCAUAAAGGAAUUACUAACGUUUUCUUCAGAGGGUUUUUUUGUUUUGUUUUGUUUUGUUCUGGUUUUCUUUUUUUCCCUGUAUGGAAAUUUAGAGAAUCAAGGGGGCUAACGAAACUUAGACAAUUGGAAACAGUAAAAGGUACAAAUUCAGAAGAAAAUACUGGAGGAAGAGCAGAGGUAAUAGUGAACACUUCAGUAUGCAACACCUGAAGAAGAAAAAUCUACAAGAAAAGAAGAAAUGGGAGAAAAUAAGAGGGUCUGAGAAAGGAAUUGCAGAAUAACCUCCACAGAAAUGUCUGUAAUGCAUGAUGUGUUAAAAGUGAUAAAAAGUCCAAGGUGCAGCCAUAAGCCAGUGGCAGAGAUAAGAACAGCCCUGAAUUUCCUUGCUAGCAUCUUAUACUGACUUUACAGGAUGCUGUCUUGGGAUUUCUGAGCAUUUAGAAGAAGGGGACUCUCUCAUUUCUUGGAGGCAUCCUGAGAACCGAAGUUGUUUUGCAAUAAUCCCAUUGAUAGUUUUGCAAGUUGAUUCCAAAGAUUCAUUAAUUAAAGACUUGAUUUUAUUUUUUCCUCCAAAAAAUUCUUGAUGUUAAUAUUUCAUGAAGUUCCACACAUGAGUCUUCAGUCUGCAGUUGACCAACAUUUGCAUAAUUCUCUGAGACAUGAUAUUCAGCAAGGUUUAGAAUCAGUCUGGCACCUCAUAUGGGAGCCCUCUUAAAAAUUCUUAAAUUAUUCUAAUGAACCACUAUUAUUCAAAAAAAUAUUUUUUUUUUCCUUCAGGAUUUGAACUUCAUCCAAAACAUUAAAACAUAAUGUUUAAAACUAUGCUUGGAGACUUUCUAUUUGAUGAAUAUAUUACAAAUCUAAUUUUGUGUUGUUUCUGAAUCCAAUACUCUGCAGAAGGCAAGGAACAAUGUGCAUGCAAUGCUUUCUGCAUCAAUGCAGUGUUUACAAAAAAUCCUAAUUAUAAGACCUUAAAAAAACACACACAAAAAAAAAAAAAAAACCCAAAUAAAUCACCCUAAAAAUCCAAAGUUUUUUGACCUUUAUUCUCUAUUCUAUCAUGCACCAGAAUUAAAGGCAAAAGAACAUUACAAUUAUGCCCAGAUGAGUAAUUUUUUUUUUUUUACUCUGCAACCUCAUUUGAGUACCCUUUUACAUGGGACUGUGACAAGAAUGCCUGAAAGAUCUGAAAUUGUUUCAUUAAUGUUAUGUCAAAAAAAACAAAGUGUGAUGUGCUGUUACACACUACUCUGUACAAGGAAACAAUGCCCAGCUACUUCUCUUCAUUUAGCUUUGUUAAAAAUAAAAUUUAACUAUCAGAUUCACAUCAAGCAUUGGCCUGUUCUGAGAAGGGGACUUCAGUUUCCUGCAGGCAGUCAGAGAGUAUCAGGUCAAGGACCAGAAUGAGAAUCUCUAUAUCUACAGUUCUCUUCCUUUUGUACAACUUUGUGGAACACUUUUUACAGAGGGGUACAUGGGAGGAAAAUGGUGCUCAUGGAAUAUUUUUUAGGAUUUUUACAGCUAAGACGUUCUGGCUAUCAAUUCAACUUGCCUUUAGCUAUUCAUGUGAUGGCAGAACAACAAAAUCAAAAAACCUUUUGUGCCAUUUCUUGAGUAAUUGCCACAAUAAUUUUUAGCAAUUUUACAUAACUAAAAAUAUUAAGUUAACAUAUAGGUUCAAUGAAAAAACAGUCCUCAAGUGGCCCAAGUCUGCUGGAGUCUUACAUCAGAGCAACCCAGCUAUUCAUCUUCCCAGUUUAAACAAAAUAUGAGGACAGGGAGCAACUGUGAGGAAGGGGGAGAGAGCUGCUCAUGGCUGACAGUAUGUGGACAUACCUGUAUCCUCCCCACCUCUCAGAAAAUCCUCUUACACUCAGCAGCUCUGACCAUUGACAUCUGAUGAUGUAAUAACACACAAUUUAUGUCAUUUUGGUUUAAAGGUAGAACACAUAUAAAAGAUAAUUACUGCUCGGUUAGUGCUGCUUUUAAUUGUAAAACUUUAAUUCUAUAAUGGAUAUGAAAUUGUCCAAAAGCUUUCAAGUGACUGGGAUACUGGAGAAAUUUAUCAUUCCAGAUCUUCCAAGCUUUUACCUGCACUGUUGGUAAAACCUUCUCUAAAGAUGCAAUUCCCUUGUUAUCAUUUUUUGACAACACCAUGAAUUUAUUCUAACCCUUUCUCUAUCUCCGCCACACCUGCAGAAGCCCAGACCCAAAAGGUCCUUAUGGGCAGGACAGUGCCCUUAUCCCACCAGCCCCUACUUUCCCAGAUGUGUGAACACCUUUAUUACUACUACUGAUAGUCCAGGGUAGAACUACAGAAUGCUACAGCCAGCCUCAGAAAAGAUUACCCAGUCUUUUUUCCUCUCUCAAUCCACAUAGCUCACUUCACAAUAUUUGUGUUCCCAGGUGGAUAACUGAUUCUUUACCCUGAAGAAGUUAAAAAGAAACAUUAAAAAAAGCAACUGAAAUAUGUCACACAGAAAAACUUACGGGUUCAUUACUUCACAGAAGCUUUUUUAAUAUAUUUUUUAUUAAAAUAUCCUAAGAGAUUUAGGGUGACUCACAAAUGCCUAAAAAUAUGGAAGCUAUUUUCCUGCUGUGUUCUUUUUUUCCUUUAUGAUGAAGGGAAGCUACAAGUACUUUGCUUUUGUUUCUUGAUAUUUUUUGCUUGGUUUCUCCCUCCCCUUUCUGCGAGAAUAAUAAAGUACAUUAUGUUUCCACUUGCAAAGCUCCUGAGCGUGCAGCGCCUGCCCCAGCGGGAGGCACAGCACACAAAAGCACGAAGCACACAGCUGCAAUUACACACCAGGAGCAUUGCAGAUCUCACUGACUGCUGCACCUCUGCUCUCCCACCUUCACUCAGUGCCAAGCACUCUGCAAAGCUCAGUAUCACAGUUUGUCUUUGCAAACCACAGAUAUAUGUAUAUCUGUAUUAUACCUGCAUGGAUACAAAUAUAUUAAGCAUGUCUAUAGGAUAUAUGCAUUAAAAACAUAUUCAUUAUUGUUGUUGUUAUUGCAAUAAAAUGGGGUUGGAAUUUGUUGUCAAAACAUUUUCUUCUACUGCCAUCUGAGAUACCACAGACUGAGAUACCCACACAGCACCGAGAGAUCUGGUAGGAGACUCAGUCCUUUCAUGGAGUGUCAGGGACAUUAGGCAGAAGUCCCACAGCCCCUGAAGCAACUCAAGGUGCCCUUUGUCAUGCAACUGAACCCAGACUUCUUUUCUAAAAUAAUCUAAGUGAGCCAUGCUAUAAAAUUUCUAUUUUUGUCAACUUGGCUUGCAGGUUUCUCAUAGUGAUCUUACAGUUACCUGAGACGAGACCUCUCUGCUCUGUUCCUUAAGACAUCAGAAAACCAAAAGUCUACUUCUUCAAAACUGAUAAUUUUGGUCAAGACUCAAUCAUCUGAAUAUUUUUGAAGAAUACAGAUUCGGGCAAUACAAGGACUCAGGAGGAAGGAAGAACUAAAAAAGGAGGCCCUGUACAUUGUACUGAACUUCUUCAUGAGGUUUCAAGGUUUGCUGAGUGUCUCUGCCUGAUACAAGUCCUGUGGGCACUGUAACCUUGGCUUGCCUGCUCCUCUGUGCCUGGUUUCCAGUGUUUCAGGGGGUCAUAUUUCCACAAUAUAAUGUGGAACAGUCACCAGGGAAGUAUCUUGUUCCUGGUAUAGGCACUGACAGGCCUUCACUGAUUUUUGAAAUAAGAAGUUUGGUUCCUAAAUCUUCAGGACAAGAACAGGAAUUAAAGCAGUCUGGGAAAAUGCUUCUGCUGUAUUAUAGAAGAGAUGCUGUUCCUCAGCUAAAUUAGGAACAGAAAAGUGAAUUAACCUUCCUCUCUACUUGAAAAAGGAGAAAUAUGCUUCCCCUUCUCUAUAUUUUACUCUAGUCACACAGAAUUCCUUCUGUUAUUAAAUAAGCAACUCUGUGAAUCAGAAAUAAUUCCAAGCUGGAAAGCACACAGUUCAUCCUGGAAGUAUGAUGGUAGAGAUGGGGGCCUAGGACAAGAGAGAGCCACAUGGGCUUUUAUAGGAGAAGAUAGAAAACAGCUAGCUAACUUUGUAUUGUCUUUUUAGGAUCCAUUCCUAAAAAUACUUGACAUUAUCUGCAUAUUGUGUGAUAUUAAAAAAAAAAAUCUAUAAUAUGAAGGUUUUCCAUGGAGACCUAAGUCUCAGAGAUGCAGUCACCAUGCCAGGUCACUAUCAUGGUGGGAAAAAAACAAAACUAAUGGGUUUAUUUUUAAAUACAAGCAUUUCAUAAUGAAUAUUCAGCAAGACAGCUGCAGCCUAAAAAUCAUCCUGGAUACAGAAAAGAAUGGUUUCAAAUAAUCAUUGCACAUAUGAAAAAAUCCAGAGCAUUCCUCACAGGUUUACCUCUAGGCUAGGAAUUUCAGAUUAUAUUUUUUUGCUAUGUGUGAUAUCUAUACCUAAGCAGUAUUUAAAGGCAAUUUAGAAAAAUGAAAAAAAAUGACACAUCAGGAAGUAAGUAAGAUUCUUGAUUCCAGAAAUAAUCAUUUGCCACUUGAAAAUGAUCAUGUGUGGGAGUAAGAAGAUAAUUUAGAAACCUUAGCUUGGGAGUUUUUCUUCUUUCAACUCAAUGAGAAGGCAGAAUCUCAUUCUGUACUUGUACAGUCAACAUUAGAACUCAAAUUGUUUUAGUGGUGUUCACCCUACCUAUGCUGGCCUCUUAAAGAACAGGAGAACAAAGGAAAUUAACAUUUCAACCUUCCCUGAAUCACCACUUAGUCAUUGUAAAAUCAUGGGGUAAUAAACCACAGUCUGUGGAGAAAAAGUAAUGAAACUGCAAAAUUCAAGCAGGACAGCACCCACCCCCCUCAAAUGAGGAUGGAUGGCUUCAUAGUUGUGUAUAAGGCACUGAUGUUCAAUAUUUCUCCCAUCUAGAAAGUCAUUUUAACUGUAUACAGAGCAAUGUAAUUCAGCCACCUUAAAAUUAAUGGCAAAUUCCUGCUUGUUGCCAGUACCAUUGGAACCAAUAAUGUUAUUUUGCAGAUUUAUACGGCUGAUACUACUGAUCAAAACAUGAAAUUUCCUUGUUGGCUACACUGAAUAAGUAUGAACAACAGCAUAUUUUUAGACCAUCACCUAUGCUGGUAGCAAUUAGGCUUAAAAAAUGACAAAGAUCUCAUUCACAGAAAAUUUCCAGACAUUUCUCUUUUCAAAUUAUAAACUUGGGUAUCACUUAUUGAAUUAUUCAUUCUGCACUUUCUGUGUAAUACAGAAAGUAGGCAUGAAACUGGGGAUUCUAGUUAUCCAAAGCCAUCUUAGUUCAGAAGGUUAAUUUUCAUUUCUAUAAGUGAAAGAUUCAUUCUCUAUUUCUGUGCCCCACUGCAUCUGAAUCCCUGAAUGAUCCCUACAGAAAAAGUGUAAAGGAGCAAAGCUGUAAGGCUAUUUCAAGUCUAUUUCAAGUACUGUAGGAGUUUGACAGUAUUUCAUUUUUCAGCAUAUGCUAAAACACUGUGGGAUGACUUUUAGUUUCUGCAGCUUCAUGCAGAUAAAUAUGGCUAGAUAGGAUCUGGAUGUUUCCUGCAGUCAGAGAGAUGUAAGCACAGCACCAGCAGGUUCCUUUCUGCAGUGAGGUCCUAAUAGAGAACAGCCAUGCUGGAGCCCUCCAUAACCAGUCACAGCAGCUGGAAUCCAAGCACAAAGAAACAGAGACCACAUCCAAGCUCAUUUGCCCUGUUCACAAAGAAAGGCUAUGCAGGAGCUGAAUUAUACUUUACUACAGCAGCCUAGUUCACUUGGGGCUAUACCUCAAACACUGGUGGAUCACUAAUUUAUGAUGACUAACUGAAGAUGUCUCAUUUUUAAAAGAAAUGGUUCAAAGCCAGAAGAAAUAAUGAGAAAGGGGAAAAAAAAAAUCCUGUUAUGUGACCCAUUUCAAGCUUAACUCUAUAUAUGCUAUUCCUGCACAGUGAACUUUUUGGUCCCAUUUUAUUUUCUGUUCUCCUAUUCUGUUGGAGGUAGUGCUGUCAACCAUUUCCAGCUGAGACCUUUUCAAUUCUGAUACUCCAAGGGCUCUUUUAUAUCUCCACAGCUCAGCAGAAGGAAGCCGAGGCAACAGAAGAUAAAAUGUUUUUCUUCCCCUUUUAUGACUGUUGCCAUUCAGUCAACUGAGGUGGCACUGAUGGCACAAUAAAACCACCACCAUGAAGCUUAACGAGUCCCACAGUAGUGUGCAAAUUUUAAGAACAUCAGGCUGGCCAUUUGCAACAGGGGAGUUCUGUCUGGACCUGGAUUCUGGUUAUGAAAGUGGCCAUCAGCAGAUGUUCAGGGACAGAGCAUCAGAAGACUGUUCCAGUGAGAGGCAAGACCCUGUUUAGAAACCUGGAGUUAAAGGCUGUGUCUGGACUGUGGUGUCUGAAAAGCACCAAUUCACCUCCAGGGCUCAUUUAUUCCUUUGGUUUCCAUAAGGCUCUUCAAAGCCCUAGUGACAGGCAGGUAAAUAAAUAUUAUCUGCUUUUAACAGGCAGAAGAAAAUGUGUUCUAUAAUGUGUGCCAGAUGUUGUGAAAAACUAAGCAAUUAACAGUCCUAGCAGUGGUCCAUGUGCCACUUGUGUAUCUCAUUUUGCCUUAAAGAUCUUACAGUCUAGACAGAUGGCAUAAAAUACUCCAACAGAACAAAAAAGUGUCCAGCCUAACACUUGGAAAAGUUUUUGGUUUUGGUUUUGUUGGGCUCUUUUUUUUUUAAUACAGGAUUACUGACUGGUUUUUUCUGCUCUUUUAAUGCAUUAGGCCUUCUGGUUCCCAAUAUCUGAUACAACCCUAUUAGAUCAAAAUGUUUCCCUGUUCUUCUCUUACUUUUCUGUACAUUUGCUUUCCACCAUAAAACAGUGGACAAUUUUUUAAUCCAUGAGCAGAAGAUGAAGUGUUUUACACACCAGAAAGCAUGGCCAUCUUCACUACACUCCAAUUACUUCAUCAGUAAAAUGAAUUUAUUAUUUUCUUAUUCUCCAGUCAUAAGUAAGUUCUGAGGUAUAAAAGAGACAAAUACCAGAAUUCUGGCUAGGCUGGAACUCAGGUUUCAGUGUAUUUAUCUUUCUAACUUUGAACAGCAAUUUUUACUUUCAGCUAAUUCAAAGGCAGACUUUGGGAUCUAAAAGCCAAGGAGAUUUUGGUAGGUAGGGUAUUUUGUGCUCAAAUGGGGAAAGUAAUGCAAACAUGUAUAGGUUAUAUCCAACCAGCAGCAUUUUUCAUGCUUAUGAUAUUUUCUUACUUUAUGCACAAACAACAUUUUCAAGCUGAAUAUGUAAUAAAAUCCACAAAGUUUUACUUUUCUUUGAAUGAUUGUAAAAUUUCUGGCUUUUCCUUUCCAAUGGGCAAACAUGACAUAACUCUAAUUUAAACAUAUGAAAGAACUUGCCAACUCAGUUUUUCCAAGCAGAUGAAUCUUCUUGAAAGGACAAAACUUUUAGUUAAAGCUUCAGAAAUGAAACUUUUGGAAAUGUGAUAAAACAGAUUAAGAACACACCAUUUUACUCCCUACAUAACCUGUGUCAUCAGCUCUCCCAUAAAAGUGCUCACUUUUCUUCUGCAUUGUUUCUCAAGUUUUAGGUGAGUAGAAUCUUUUCAAUACACCUGAGGAUUAAUUAAUACAGCCAGUACAGUAUAACUUCUAAUGUUUAUAACAUAAAGCAUAACUUCUAGUGUUUAUAAUUGUGCACCACAGGUCUAUCACUUCGUGGAAAGACAAUUUAUUCUUGAUAAAUUUAUCCUUGAUAUUUAUCCUUGAUAAAAGAGCAUAGAGCACCCAACUGUAGCAGUACUCAUGAAAAAUGUCAAGGGGUAUGAGGGUUGCCUGAAGUUGCUUGUAUUCAGCUUUCCAUGUGACAAUAAUAACCAUAAUUAAACUUCAUUGCAUGAAUAAUUACAACUUACAUACAGAUUGAGGAAAAAAAAUAAGCAUCUGAAGGUGUAUUUCCAGCUAAGCAAUAAAAUAAUGACUGGCAUCUUCAUCACACCUAUGAUUGCUGUAUAGAUUUCAGAAUUUCAAAAAUUUCAAAUUCAAGCAAAACCUAUUAUAUUCAGUUAAACAAGGACACAAGACUCCC